GCGCGUGACUUGUUCGCGAAGAGGGGGCUACUUAGCCGGUCCGGGAAGAGGGCGUUGUCAGGGUGAGGGUUGGGAUCGGCGGUCACGUAGCAUCCCCCGCGCCGUCGCCGGCUGUCCUGCUUCGUGCGCCGGUGCGGCGGGAAUUGGUCUACGGGGCCAUCGCGGCGGAAGAAGGGGGAACUACAGGGCGUGCUCGCGGUGGCGCUGCUCCUGGACGAGAGGUAGAGGGAGACGACGGGGUAAACUCGCGGCGGCACUAGAGCUGUACGAGGUCGCUGCGGCGAGACUAGCUCGAGGAGACGUUGGUCGUUCUGGAGGCGGAGGUAGAGGGAGACGGCGACGGUCGUUAGCUUUUCGCACUACUUCCUAAAAAGAAAGAGAAGUUAAGUAAGUCAGUAUACUUUCCCCUUGAUGGCUAUCUAUUUAGUAUACAGGUAUGUGGUACAUGAAAGGAGACAGAUAGAAAUUCCCUUUAGUAAAAACAAGUCUAACUUCUAUACGUGAAAUGGAAGUAUUACACAUAAGAAUAUAAGGUAGUUGAGCUCACACAGUAAUGUGGAACGUCCGCACGUAAUACAUAGAAGUUGAUAAUAUAAAGAACUUAUGUGGAUCCGGAUCGACUGGUCACUAAAACAUCAAGAGAUGAUGGUCUAGGUAGAAAACUGACCGAAAACCUAUAAUAGACGUUCACUAACAAAUUUCAAAAAUAAUGAUAUCUUGUUACCUUCAUAUCGUUCAAGCAAACAAGGUGACUCG
rnacentral:rRNA from 1 species